AACGAACGCUGGCGGCAGGCUUAACACAUGCAAGUCGAGCGCCCCGCAAGGGGAGCGGCAGACGGGUGAGUAACGCGUGGGAAUCUACCCAUCUCUACGGAAUAACGCAUGGAAACGUGUGCUAAUACCGUAUACGUCCUUCGGGAGAAAGAUUUAUCGGAGAUGGAUGAGCCCGCGUUGGAUUAGCUAGUUGGUGGGGUAAAGGCCUACCAAGGCGACGAUCCAUAGCUGGUCUGAGAGGAUGAUCAGCCACACUGGGACUGAGACACGGCCCAGACUCCUACGGGAGGAAGCAGUGGGGAAUAUUGGACAAUGGGCGCAAGCCUGAUCCAGCCAUGCCGCGUGAGUGAUGAAGGCCCUAGGGUUGUAAAGCUCUUUCACCGGUGAAGAUGAUGACGGUAACCGGAGAAGAAGCCCCGGCUAACUUCGUGCCAGCCGCCGCCGUAAGAC
rnacentral:rRNA from 1 species